UGGGAGAAACCCAGUUGCAGAUCCUGCCUGGCUGCUCUCCUCAGGACUGGAGGGCUCCAAGUCAGUGAGUAUCAAAGGUUGUUGAUGAGGAUGCCAGGGGGUCAAUUCUCUUUUCAGUUUUCCAUAAAAAUGGUUAAUGAAUUUUGAAGGUGUGGUUAGUUUUUUUAUUUCAUUUUUAUAACAUUUUAUUUAAUUUAUGACUUGAGUUUCAUUCACCCCAGUAAUCAAAAAACGCUGUGCAAAUUCUAGCAGUAUGUCUUCUAUAACGUGGAUGUUAGAAUAGCCAAUAUGUACAAAAAAAAUUAAAUCAAGUAUUUUGUCCUAUGUAUAACACAAAUUAAUUUUACACAGAGAAAGAUGUUUCUAGGAAAAUGAAAUUCUGGUAAUUCAUACUUUUUCUUUGUAUGAACAAAUAAAAUAUAUUUUACCAACCUG
rnacentral:lncRNA from 1 species